rnacentral:rRNA from 1 species
AGCAGCCGCGGUAAUUCCAGCUCCAAUAGCGUAUAUUAAAGUUGCUGCAGUUAAAAAGCUCGUAGUUGAAUUUCGGGACUAAUAUGUCGGUCGUGCCUCGGUACGUACUGGUAUUUUUGGUUUCUCCCUUCUGACGAACCUUGAUGUCAUUAAUUUGGUGUCUUGGGAAAUCAGGACUGUUACUUUGAAAAAAUUAGAGUGUUUAAAGCAGGCUCACGCUUGAAUACAUUAGCAUGGAAUAAUGAAAUAGGACGUUUGAUUCUAUUUUGUGGUUUCUAGGAUCGACGUAAUGAUUAAUAGGGAUAGUUGGGGCAUUAGUAUUCAAUUGUCAGAGGUGAAAUUCUUGGAUUUAUUGAAGACUAACUACUGCGAAAGCAUUUGCCAAGGAUGUUUUCAUUAAUCAAGAACGAAAGUUAGGGGAUCGAAGACGAUCAGAUACCGUCGUAGUCUUAACCAUAAACUAUGCCGACUAGGGAUCGGAUGAUGUUAAUUUUUUAAUGUACUCAUUCGGCGCCUUACG